UUGCCAGCUUCGGGAGCACACAGACUAAAAUUGGAAUGACACUGAGAUCCUCACGGCCCUGCAUAAGAAUGACAUACAAAAUCAUGAAGCAGUCCAUAUUUUC